UACAGAGGGUGCAAGCGUUGUUCGGAAUUAUUGGGCGUAAAGCGCGUGUAGGCGGCUUAGCAAGUCGGGUGUGAAAUCCCUCAGCUUAACUGAGGAAGUGCGCCCGAAACUGCUGAGCUUGAAUACCGGAGAGGAUGGCGGAAUUCCCCAAGUAGAGGUGAAAUUCGUAGAUAUGGGGAGGAACACCGGUGGCGAAGGCGGCCAUCUGGACGGCUAUUGACGCUGAGACGCGAAAGCAUGGGGAGCAAACAGG
rnacentral:rRNA from 1 species